AGCGGCGAGUGAAGCGGCAAGAGCUCAGAUUUGAAAUCUCACCUAGUGUGCGAGUUGUAAAUUGCAGGUUGGAGUCUCGGGUUAGACGUGUGUGCAAGUCCCUUGGAACAGGGUGCCACUGAGGGUGAGAGCCCCGUAUCGUGCAUGUCGACACCUGUGAGGCCCUUCUGACGAGUCGAGUUGUUUGGGAAUGCAGCUCUAAGUGGGUGGUAAAUUCCAUCUAAGGCUAAAUAUUGGCGAGAGACCGAUAGCGAACAAGUACUGUGAAGGAAAGAUGAAAAGCACUUUGAAAAGAGAGUGAAACAGCACGUGAAAUUGUUGAAAGGGAAGGGUAUUGGGCUCGACAUGGGAUUUACGCAUCGUUGCCUCUCGUGGGCGGCGCUCUGGGUUUUUCCUGGGCCAGCAUCGGUUUUCGUUGCAGGAUAAGGACAAUUGGAAUGUGGCUCCUCGGAGUGUUAUAGCCUUUUGUAGAUGCUGCGUAUGGGGACCGAGGGCUGCGGCGGACUCGUUUCGUCUCGGAUGCUGGCACAACGGCGCAAUACCGCCCGUCUU
rnacentral:rRNA from 1 species